GGCGCAAACGGUCCCGGGCCAUGGUAAGGCGACACCCGUGGGAAUACCGUGCGUGAGGCCGUAAAGUGAUAUGAGGUGCUACCGGCUAGAUCGAUGUGACUUGGAAUCGGGGUCCUGACAUUGAGGAGAUAGUCCAAGAUUUGGUGGAUUAAUUAAUAUUUUUUGAACACAGUACAAGCGCAAGUGUUAUAUAAACGUGCAUACACUCACCUCUAUGAACGCACGCACGCACACCCUACCCCUAUGAGCACCAUCGAGAGACUAAGCCGGCAUUUCAUCUUGAGAUUUUACAAAGUCAGCGUAGGUGCCUCGUAGUCGAUGGGAACAAUUUGGAUUUAGUUCGGUGAGUGUGAUAUUGAACCAAAUUCCUCGGUGAUUUAUUUGAUUUUAGGUGGAUUUAGUUAGGUGAUUGAGUCUUGAGAAGAUAGUCAAAAUGUUCGGUGGAUUAUGAGAUUUUAGGUAUGGUAAAUGAGCAAGGUGAUUAUUAUAUUAGUUCUAAACAAAUAUUUAGAUCAAUUUGGAUUUAGGUAGGGGAUUGUGAUCUUUUAACCUAAUUUUACAAUGGAUUAUGAGGUUUUGGUUGGAUUUAGUUAGGUGCUUGUGAUCUCGACAAGGUAGUUAAAGAUGUUUGAUGGACUAAUAUGUCUAGUAAGCGAGCAUGGUGGCUACUACAUUGGUGGAUAAAUGGAUCUUUAAUAAGCUUGAAGAUAUUUGAAUUUAGUUAGGCGAUUGUGAUCUUGAACCAAAUUUCAUGGUGGAUUACGAGAUUUUAGCCGGAUUUGAUUAGUUGAUUGCGAUUUUGAGGAGAUAGUAAAAGAUGUUCGGUGGAUUAAUUAAUCUUGAACAAUUUGGAUUUAGUUACGUGAUUGUGAUAUUGAACCAAAUUUCUCGUUGAUUUAUGAGAUUUUAGCUGGAUUUAGUUAGGUGAUUGCGUCUUCAAAAGAUAGUCAAAGAUGUUCAGUGAUUAUGAUAUUUUAGGUCUAGUAGAUGAGCAUGGCAAUUAUUAUAUUGGUGGAUAAACAAAUAUUUAAUAUAGUUUGGAACAAUUUGGGUUUAGUUAGGUGAUUGUGAUUUUUAACCAAAAUUUAGGGUGGAUUAUGAGGUUUUGAUUAGAUUUAGUUAGGUGAUUGGGAUCUUGACGAGCUAGUAAAAGAUGUUCGGUAGAUUAUGUGAAUUUAGAUCUAAUAGGUGAGCAUCUUGAUUAUUAUAUUGGUGGAUAAAUGAUUUUUCUAUAAACUUGGACAAAUUUGAAUUUAGUUACGCGAUUGUGAUCUUGAACCAAUUUUAUGGUGGAUUAUGAUAUUUUUGAUGGAUUAGUUAGUUGAUUGUGAUCUUGAGGAGAUAGUCAAAGAUAUUCAAUGUAUUAAUUAACUCGAACAAUUUGGAUUUAGUUAGGUGAUUGUGAUAUUGAACUAAAUUUCUCUGUGAUCUAUGAGAUUUUAGUUGGAUUUAGUUAGGUGAUUGUGUCUUCAGAAGAUAAUCAAAGAUGUUUGAUGGGUUAUGAGAUUAUAGGUCUAAUAAAUGAGCAUGGUGAUUAUUAUAUUGGUGGAUAAACAAAUAUUUAAUUAGUUUGAAACAAUUUGGAUUUAGUUCAGUGAUGAUCUUUUAACCUGAUUUUAUGCUGGAUUAUAAGGUUUUGGUUGGAUUUAGUUAGGUGAUUGUGAUUUUGAUGAUGAGCUAGUAAAAGAUGUUCGGUGGAUUAUGUGAAUUUAGGUCUACUAGGUGAGCAUGUUGAUUAUUAUAUUGGUGGGUAGAAAUAAGGGCCACACGAGUGACUCAAGGCGAUGGUGCCACUACUGAAAAUAACUGGUAAACACGACAAGAGAGGCGGAGAGACUGUGGGUGAUGGGAGUAGAUGGACUUUGAUCCAGCAUCCUACCUCUUCAAAGAUGUUUGAUGGGUUAUGAGAUUAUAGGUCUAAUAAAUGAGCAUGGUGAUUAUUAUAUUGAUGGAUAAAUAAAUAUUUAAUUAGUUUGAAACAAUUUGGAUUUAGUUCGGUGAUGAUGAUCUUUUAACCUAAUUUUACGGUGGAUUAGAAGGUUUUGGUUGGAUUUAGUUAGGUGAUUGUGAUUUUGAUGAUGAGCUAGUAAAAGAUGUUUGGUGGAUUAUGUGAAUUUAGGUCUAGCAGGUGAGCAUGUUGAUUAUUAUAUUGGUGGGUAGAAAUAAGGGCCACACGAGUGACUCAAGGCGAUGGUGCCACUACUAAAAACAACUGGUAAACACGACAAGAGAGGCGGAGAGGCUGGGGUGAUGGCAGUAGAUGGACUUUGAUCCAGCAUCCUACCUGCCAGUGCACUCUCCGUUCCCCGCUGAUCCGGCUUGGUGUCCUUGUCCUGUUUGCGGAUUUGUGUCACGCACUUGAUUAAGCAUCCCACGUUCUCCUAAUGUGCGCCCUUGGCCUUGACGAUAGGUAGCGCCGUGUUCUCGGACGCGUCCCGUGGGUAAAAUUCAGGUAUGCGUCGAUUGUCUGAGCUCUUGCUCGCCAUUGUGCCGCCCAGCAAGGGAACACAUGAUGUGGGAUCAAGACAGCACACAUAGCAACCCGCCACCAGGCAACGGACGCCCAUCCGGACUUACAGGGAGCGGAGGUGGACAAAAAGGUGGAUGUUGAGCUCCAUAGUAGUCUCAACAGUGUGCUCAUUAGUAAGAGUAGCAUGAGAAAGAAGAUCCUGGACAUACUGCUCUUAGGAAAUAAAGAAGCCAUUAGAGGUAGAAGAAACCUCAAUCUCAAGGAAGUAGUGACUUUAGUAAACAUGGAGCAAUUUGGAUUUACUUAGGCGAUUGUGAUCUUGAACAAAUUUUAUGGUGAAUUAUGAGAUUUUUGAAUGGAUUUAGUUGAUUGUGAUCUUGAGGAGAUAGUCAAAGAUGUUCGGUGUAUUAAUUAAUCUUGAAGAAUAUGGAUUUAGUUAGGUGAUUGUGUCUUGAGAUAAUAAUCAAAGAUGUUUCGUGGAUCAUGAGAUUUUAGGUCUAGUAGAUGAGCAUGGUGAUCAUUAUAUAGUUAGGUGAAUGUGAUUUUGACGAGCUAGUAAAAGAUGUUCGGUGAAUUAUUGUGAAUUUAGGUCUAGUAGGUGAGCAUGUUGAUUAUUAUAUUGAUGGAUAAAUAAAUUUUAGGUCUAGUAGAUGAGCAUGGUGAUCAUUAUAUAGUUAGGUGAAUGUGAUUUUGACAAGCUAGUAAAAGAUGUUCGGUGAAUUAUUGUGAAUUUAGGUCUAGUAGGUGAGCAUGUUGAUUAUUAUAUUGAUGGAUAAAUAAAUUUUCAAUAAAUUUAAAACAAUUUGCAUUUAGUUAGACGAUUGUGACCUUGAAUCAAAUUUCAUGGUGGAUGAUGAGAUUUUUGAUGGAUUAGUUAGUUGAUUGUGAUCUUCAAGAGAUAGUCAAAGAUGUUUUGUGGAUUAAUUAAUCUUGAACAACUUGGAUUUAGUUAAGUGGUUGCGAUACUGAACCGAAUUUCACGCUGGAUUAUGAGAUUGUAGGUGGAUUUAGUUAGGUGAUUGUGUCUUGAGAAUAUUGUCAUAGAUGUUUGCUAGUCUAUGAGAUUUUAGGUUUAGUAGAUGGGAAUGGUGAUUAUUAUAUUGGUAGAUAAACAAAUCUUUAUUUUAGUUUGGAACAAUUUUGACUCACUUAGGUAAUUGUUAUUUUUCAACCAAAUUUACGGUGGAUUUUGAGAUAUUUUUGGAUUUAGUUAGGUGACUGAUCUUGACAAGAUAGUCAAAUAUGUUUGGUGAAUUAUGUUAAUUUAGAUCUAGUAAGUGAGCAUGGUGGUAAUUAUAUUGGUGGAUAGAUGGAUCUUUAGUAAAAAUGAAGCAAUUUGGAUGUAGUUAGGUGAUUGUGAUCUUGAACAAAUUUCACGGUGGAUUACGAGAUUUUCAAUAGAUUUAGUUAAUAGAUUGUGAUCUUGGGGGAUGUCAAAGAUGUUCGGUGGAUUAAUUAAUUUUGAACAGUUUCAAUUUAGUUAGGUGAUUGCGAUAUUCAACCAAAUUUCUCGGUGAUUUAUGAUAUCUUAGUUGGAUUUAGUUAGAUGAUUGUGUCUUUAGAAGAUAGUUAAGGAUGUUCGAUGGAUUAUGAGAUUUUAGGUCUAGUAGAUGAGCAUGGUGAUUAUUAUAUUGGUGGAUAAACAAAUGUUUAAUUUAGUUUGGAACAAUUUAGAUUAAGUAAGGUGAUUGUGAUAUUGAACCAAAUUUCUCUGUGAUUUAUGAGAUUUUAGUUGGAUUUAGUUAGGUGAUUGUGUCUUGAGAAGAUAGUCAAAGAUGUUUGGUGGAUUAUGAGAUUUUAGGUCUAAUAGAUGAGCAUGGUGAUUAUUAUAUUGGUGGAUAAACAGAUAAAGUGAUAUUUAAUUUAGUUUGCAAUUUGGAUUUAGUUAGGUGAUUGUGAUCAUUUAACUUAAUUUUAUGAUGGAUUAUAAGGUUUUGGUUGGAUUUAGUUAGGUCAUUGUGAUUUUGACGGGUUAUUAAAAGAUUUUCGGUGGAUUAUGUGAAUUUAGGUCUAGUAGGUAAGCAUGUUGAUUAUUAUAUUGGUGGAUAAAUGGGUCUAUAGUAAACAUGGAGCAAUUUGGAUUUAGUUAGGCGAUUGUGAUCUAGUACAAAUUUCAUGGUGGAGAUUUGCAAUGGAUUUAGUUGAUUGUGAUCUUGAGGAGAUAGUCACAGAUGUUCGGUGGAUAAAUUAAUCUUGAACAAUUUGAAUAUAUUUAGGUGAUUGUGAUGUUGAACCAAAUAUCUCUAUGAUUUAUGGGAUUUUAGUUGGAUUUAAUUAGGUGAUUGUGUCUUGAGAUGAUAAUCAAAUAAGUUUGGUGGAUUAUGAGAUUUUAGGUGCAGUGGAUGAGCAUGGUGAUUACUAUAUUAGUGGAUAAGCAUAUAUUUAAUUUAGUUUGGAACAAUUUGGAUUUAGUUAGGUGAUUGGGAUCUUGACGAGCUAGUAAAAGAUGUUCGGUGGAUUAUGCGAAUUUAGGUCUAGUAGGUGAGCAUGUUGGUUAUUAUAUUGGUGGAUAAAUAAUUUUUUAAUAAACUUGGAAAAAUUUGGAUUUUGUUAGGUGAUUGUGAUCCUUUAACUUAAUUUUAUGGUGGAUUAUAAGGUUUUGGUUGGAUUUAGUUAGGUGAUUGUGAUUUUGACGAGCUAUUACAAGAUUUUCGGUGGAUUAUGUGAAUUUUGGUCUAGUAGGUGAGCAUGUUGAUUAUUAUAUUGGUGGAUAAAUGGGUCUAUAGUAAACAUGGAGCAAUUUGGAUUUAGUUUGGUGAUUGUGACCUAUUACAAAUUUCAUGGUGGAGAUUUGCAAUGGAUUUAGUUGAUUGUGGUCUUGAGGAGAUAGUCAGAGAUGUUCGGUGGAUAAAUUAAUCUUGAACAAUUUGAAUAUAUUUAGGUGAUUGUGAUAUUGAACCAAAUUUCUCUAUGAUUUAUGGGAUUUUAGUUGGAUUUAAUUAGGUGAUUGUGUUUUGAGAUGAUAAUCAAAUAUGUUUGGUGGAUUAUGAGAUUUUAGGUCUAGUGGAUGAGCAUGGUGAUUACUAUAUUGGUGGAUACACAUAUAUUUAAUUUAGUUUGGAACAAUUUGGAUUUAGUUAAGUGGUUGUGAUCUUUUGACCAAAUUUUAGGUGAAUUACGAGGUUUUGGUUGGAUUUAGUUAGGUGAUUGGGAUCUUGACGAGUUAGUAAAAGAUGUUCGGUGGAUUAUGCGAAUUUAGGUCUAGUGGGUGAGCAUGUUGGUUAUUGUAUUGGUGGAUAAAUAAUUUAUUAAUAAACUUGGAAAAGUUUGGAUUUAGUUAGGCGAUUGUGAUCUUGAACCAAAUUUUAUGGUGGAUUAUGAGAAUUGUGAUGGAUCAGUUAGUUGAUUGUAAUCUUGAGGAGAUAGUCAAAGAUGUUCGGUGUAUUAAUUAAUCUUGGACAAUUUACAUAUAGUUAGGUGGUUGUGAUAUUUAAACAAAUUUCUCCGUGAUUUAUGAGAUUUUAGUUGUGUUUAUUUAGGUGAUUGUGUUUUGAGAAGAUAGUCAAAGAUGUUUGGUAGAUUAUGAGAUUUUAGGUCUAAUAGAUGCGCAUGGUGAUUAUUAUAUUGGUGGAUAAAUGAAUAUUUAAUAAAUUUGGAAUAACUUGGAUUUAGUUAGCCGACUGUGAUCUUGAAUCAAAUUUUAUGGUGGAUUAUGAGAGUUAAUUUGGCGGCGCUUCGCUUCUUCCUCGAGGAGCAUGUGCAGUGAAGUGGUGCGGGGGCUCGUGCGGCCUGCGGAGGCCUGCGAAGGUGGGCGGUGACACCUGCAACUUGUGCACAAUGGCGACUCCACGCAUCUCUUGCGCCCCGCAACCCUCUCCUUCCCGGCACAACAGGAGUAGGAGCAAGGAUGCCGAGGCGGUUCAGUCGCGAGGAAGAGUAGGAAGAUCAGGCAGAGAGGGUUUCACACACCUCUUCUACACUGACAAGUCUUUGCAUUCCAGGAUUGCCAUGGGAGCUUUGGAUGGUGGUCUUGAUCUUCCGCACAGUGACAGGAGAUUUGCUGGCUUCAAGAAGGAUAAGAAGCAGUUGGGCGCUGAGAUUCACCUCAAAUACAUCUAUGAAGGUCAUGUUGCUGACUACAUGAAGUCAAUAGCUGAUGAGGAACCUAAGAAGUACCAAUCUCACUUCAGUGAGUACAUCAAGAAGAACUGAAGAAGAUCAAGGGUUACAGAUGCCACAAGGCUUGCCUAACAAAUGUUCCUAGAAAAGGAAUGAUUGAGAAAAAAGGCUUUGCUCUCCAACUGCAGAACACUUUCCCACUCCCCAUCGAUGACGAUCUUCCUGGUAGCUCUUUUAGUACCACAGAAGUUAUUCCGAAAGGUCAUUAAGCUUAUUCUAAUGCCAACUUCUGUAGAGGUGCUUGUCUUAUUACAGUAUGUUCCUUUUGACAAACCAACAGAAGUGUACAAAUUAUUUAAAUGGGUUCGCAAGGUAUUUUCAUUAGCAAUGCCACAAGGCACCAGAAAGCACAAGUAGCGAGAUUGUGUUAAAUUAAUCUGCUAGAGUAUGGUGAUAACAGAGGGGCACUGUUUUUGAAAAUUGUUUUUUCUGUUUCAAUUGUAUAGGGCCCUCCGCAACGAUAUUGAUUUCAUCAGGUGUAGAUGUUUAGUUGGACAGAUAUUGUUCGUCACUUUCUUAGUGCAUGCCUAGCUGUUUCCCCUUUUUACAUUGCUUCUUUUCUGUAGGAUUUCUUGAAACAUAAUAACUUGCUUCCACAAUUGUGGAAUGAUCAUGGUUUCUUUGCAUUCCUGUACUUUCAUAUGAUUAACAAUUUCAUGGCUAACCUAGGUAACAAGCAGACAUCAUUGGCAUUAGCCAAUGCAUUUCCGUUAAAUGCCCUGCUGGCCGAGUGCAACUUCGUUCUUCUUUAGUGGGUAUUUGUAUUUUCCAAAAAGAAGUUGGUGCACCUCAUAGUUGUAUUGUAGCCUGACUAUUAUGCCUAGAUUUUGCUCUGUGAUACAGAACUAAGUAUUGAUUUGAGCUGCCUUAUUCCCAGAUAGUGACUAUCUAAAUUAUUGACAUCAGAGGACGGGGCGUCGACCCGUUGGCUGGGCAGCUGGGGUACCAGCCAGUCCACCCGAGUUCGAGCCCCGGCUUUGCCCUUGGGUUGGUCUCAUUUAAAAAAAAUUAUUGACAUCCACUCAAAUAAAUAUACAAGAUUUGUAUGAAAGGGAACCACUUAUCUUUUUAACAAGAAAUAUGUUUAGCGUCAUAACAAUGUUCAGGUCGCACAUGCAUACCAGAACACUGAGGGGUGGUCUUACAAAUGACAACUACUUUCAUGUCAGUAAUUUCUUCUGUUUGACAUAUUCCACGAGCCUUCUUGCUAGCUCCAGUCAUACAAUUUAUCAUUAUAUCCACCAUAUUUUUAUGCUCGGCAUUCCUAAUCUGCCGGUCACAAGAAACUGUAGUAUAGUGUCAGGUCGCACAUUCUUUUUGUUUCAUGGUUCAGUACAGGUCUCAUGGUGAGCAGCAGCACUAGGUUGCAGUAUAAUGUCAGCUGAUUGCAACAUCCUGAGUUAUUUUAUCGAUGUUUUGCAUCUGGAAGCUUGAAUCUCUUUCAACUUUCAGUACACAUAUAUUCUGAUUUGUGCAUCUUUUUGGUUGUAAUCAUAUGGCUUGCAUAUUUUAUCGGACUGAUCAGUCACAAAGAUCGGACUGAUCAUAUUUGGUACAGAAUAUCAAAAGAAGCAUUUAUAUCAUCUUUUUGUGUGCUUUAUCUGUAGAAAAGUACCAUGGGUUGGUGGUGUUGGAUCCAAUUACUAUAUGAUGUAAUUGACUGCUAUUCCUAAGAACUGCUCCUGGACACAGUGCUCUAUGUUAUCAUGUUUUACAUUCUAUUGUGUCGCCUAUCUUUAUAGUUACUCGGAUCUUACAUUUCAAUUUUUGUAUUUUUGUCUGUGCAAGUGUUGUCUUCCUACUAUCAAACAACAGGGAUUUCUUUAAAUUAAAUUGUACAUAUUGUUGAAAAAUAUCCUGUGUAUGUCUAUAUUCAUGCCUAGUAUAAAACAAACAUUCUUCAUUGCCUAUGCCUUUUCCUUCUGUUAAUGAUGAUAAUGUAGUUCUCCAUCUUAUUAAUUCCUUCUUCAUUCACUUGAAAUAUUGCCUAAUUUUUGUGUGUGUGUAUUUGGUUUAGCACCCUGACUUAUGGUCAAACUGAAGGUGCUUAGCAUGGUCUGGUAUGCAUUUCUCAGUUUCUCUUGAUUUCUGUUUCUGUUUCUGUUUCAUUUCAUUUUAAGCCGAUUGUAUUUGCAUACAUAUUGGAGAGGUUAUUUCUCGUGUGAAGUUACUAUUUUUUUUCAGUUCUGAAGCACCUUCCUCAACUUUGAUGGUCUACUUUACAAGAGAAAAUAUUUCUCUGUUUGUAUGGUGCAGGUUUCUUUAUGGUCUACUUUACAAGAGAAAACAUUUCUCUGGAAGGAGCUGCUGACAAGGUUUAACAACAAACUGGACGGAGUUCUUCACAUGGCAAACAUAGAUGAAGGAACGAUGUAUGCCUUCACCUUCAGAUGCAAGGCAAAGUGCCUCCGCCUCUGUCUAACUUCUCACUUCCUAUGAGGACACCAUCGUAAACCUUCGGUGUCACCUAUAUAUAACUUGUGUACCAGACUUCAUGUUUAUGAUGCUCUUAUACCCCCCCCCCCCCCCAAAAAAAAAAUCCCACCACGUCUGGGGCUGGCACACGAUUUUUUUUGGUGCAGGUAUUGCGAGCUAAUCCUACCCCCUCCCCGAAGUUUCUGGAAAACGUGCGCUCCAUUACCAGCAGUAUCGAGAUCGGAGGCGAGGGCCGAGCAGUUUCGGCGGCGAGCGGGCGAUUUCGCGUUGGGCGCCCUCGUCGGCAUUGGCUUUCAGCCAGGAGGAAUCGAUGCCUCAGCUUCGCAGCGACACGUUACAGUGUCUCCACCGCCACCGCUUCUGCCCUGAGGUUAUUUGGCGGUGGGCAGCACCACGUGAAAUCUAAUGCAGAGGAUUUGGGCAUUUUCCUACCGGUGGAAGACCUGCAUCCAGCCCCACAAGUCCUUUACUAGCCCUCCUUGCCGCAGUUCCAUCCUCUACCGUCAGGCCAGGCUGGAACCGGGAAGAUCAAGUUGAUUUUGCAAGUUUUGGUUCGGUUGACACUUAUGUGUUUUUGUUACUGAUUUGUAGCUCCUAUUUUUUUUAUCUUCUUUUGAGAAUGUAACUCCACUGAUUAGUAGGAUCAAUAAUUACCAUAAUAAAGCUGCCACACUUGCCUUCUUAGAAGAUCCAUUAAAGAAACAUGGCAAAUCUCACCAAUUGAAGUUUUUUUUUAAAGAAACAUAGCCUGAUACUGUUGGUAGUAGCUUACAUUAAACCGAGAACAGUUGACAUCAUCACAUUUGCAUGGGCAUGUCUAGGUUUUGCCUCUCAAGGAAGACACACCCAUUCUCUUCCGAGUUUGAGUUUAACAUGUAUUGUACUAUUUCCAUUAGCACUAUGCAUUUCAGUUUUCAGUUUUGGACACUCCAAUGGCGACAUUAGGUAUGCUUAGCAAAACUAAUCAUUCUGGAAUCAACACGUCAUAUGACCGAAAAUACAUGGGCUUUAGUUAGCUCAUAGUAACCGUGUACAUGUUUAUUGAUCCAAAAAAGAUGUCUUGUAAAACCGAAUUACAUACGCAUUUAAGUGUAAAACGUGAUCUGGAUGAUGGCAUUAUCCUUAACUAUGCCUUGCCAUGAUAUGUCCAUACAUAUUCAGUGUGCUCUUUCACUUGAGAACAAUAGUAGUUGUAGUAAGUUUUUCCAAAAGUUUCUGCCAAAAAUCACUAUGUUAGAGCCACUGGUGGUUCCUGAAAUUGUAAUGGGGAAGAACCCAUUUAUCAAUUUCAGAACCAGCAUUUUUGGAUUGAAUAUUUUGUAGUGUGUUCGAUUGUUUUUAACUAGUGAAAUAAAAUUACAGAGACUUCAUUAUUAAAUUUUACAUCUCUUGUGCUGCCUCGUUGACCUUAGUUAGGUAGAUUAGGUAGCAGUUCUAUGUUGGUAUCGAGCUGGUCAACAGAAAUUGCAUCGGCGUACUGUGGCAUCUGCCACAACGCAAGCAUAGCUGCGACCUUGGUAUCUAGCCUCUUACAAUUUUUCUUCAGCUUGUAGUUUGGGUACAUGCGGUGUUAAUUUUUGUUGCAUGUUCUACUGUUUCCUGAUUCUCAUGGAGGUACAAAUAUCCAAUUUCAAAAGAAAGGCAUUUGCCUCCAACUACCAUUGUUUCUUGAUGUGGUUUCUAUUAAUUGAAGCAAGGUUCAUUCUUUAAUUCAGUUUGGUAGUUGAAGCGAUCCAGGUGAGGCCACACCAUAUAACUAAGAUCUACUCCCUCUGUCCCAUAAUGUAAGAGUGUUUAUGAUACUAGUGUAGUAUAAAAAACACUCUUAUAUUAUGGGACGGAGGGAUUAGUUAUUAUCAAUUUGUCAUUAAUCAUGAUGAACUCCAUGAAAACAUACUACUGUUUUCUCCUCUUUGCAGAAUUCCCCUAGUGUGAGUCAGACUUUAGAGCUCUAGCGUAAUUGCCUUAUGAAAGUCACCACUUGAAUUUACCUUGCAUUUUUUGUAAGGUAUGGGAGAAACAAUUUUUUUUGUAGAAUGUACCUUUAUAACAUAAUACAUGAUGGGCAAAUGUUGUUAAUGGAUUUGUUGCAAUUUUGGUUCAUCGUGCACCACAUGCAAAUACGCAUGACUCCUUCCGUCCCAAAAUAAGUGUCGCAAGCAUAGUAUAAUUUUGUACUCCCUCCAUUUACUUAUAAGUUCAGUUCAAACUCUAGGCAAUAGUUGCCAUUUAGUUUAGUUCAAGUUCAGUUUUCUGUGCAUUUAGUUAAGUGUUAGGAGCAACAAGUGGAAUCCGGUUCAGUUUUGUUCAUAAUUCUGCAUAUGUUGUUCUGUUCAAUUCUGCAAAUGCUUAGAGAGUCAUAACGUUCAAGCAAACACUGGAACAUUUUGCCAUUAAAAUAUGUUCAAUCCUACACGUAUACAAGUAGCGACUGGAACUCUUAUUCAAUCAUAACAUCCAAUCAGAACUACAAUAUUUAGUUCUCUUAAUUUUUCCCUCCAUAUUCAGUUAACAUGAGUGACUCAGUUGAACGCUUCGUGUACUUCGCAGCAUUUUGGCAUGGUUUUUUACACCAACCGACUCAAGUCUGCUCAGAAAACAAACCACAUGAUGCGUCGAGGUAGCCUUGUCUUCUGGCUCCUUGCGAUGUGUAACACCCCCAGUGUCAUGCUACAGUAACCCUCUGUGAUUAAACUAAUCAUUUUUCCAAACAGUGCUUAAUCACCUUUGUUCAAUGUCCCAUUUGAAAUUCCAGUCAAUUCAAAUUCAAGUGAAGUUUGAAGUUACUCAAAAGUUGUUGGAAAAAUGUUCAUCAUUUGUCAAAAAUUCCAUAACAAUUAUUUGUUAAGAAACACAACAUCACUUUUGUGCAAAGAUGAGCAUUAGCAAUUAUAACAGCACUAAUUCAGCAUUUUUUUAAAUGCUAUCCUAUUUAUGAAAAAUAUCAAAUGAAUUCUUCUGGUCUCCAAAAUAUGGCACUGUCUAAGAUCACCAGGGAAUAAAAGGGCCACGUCUCAUAUUUUUCCUAAAUCCUUUGGAUGCUCCAAUAAAUCAUUUCCCCUCUUUGUUUUAAAUUAAAAGAAAAAAACAGAAUAAAGAAAGGGUAGAGGCUUACCUGGCCUUUGGGCCGCAGCUGUUCCCAGCCCAGUCCACCUAACCGCAUCGUCGUCCUCAACGACACGGCGACAGCAGCCUCGCUGUCGUGCAUCCAGCGGUCCUCGACGCCGUUAAGACCUGCCUCGAGUCCCUCUCGCCCUCCCACAAACCUUAGCUACCCAUUUGCCCCCGCGCGCGUCUCCCUUUCUCGUUCCCCACCUCACUCGAAACGCUCGCCGCCGUCGCCGCUCGAUUCCAUGGCCAUCGUGCCUCCAACGCCUCAAUCUGGUGCU